GCCUGGGUGGCUCAGUCGGUUGAGCGUCCGACUUCGGCUCAGGUCAUGAUCUCGCGGUCUGUGAGUUCGAGUCCCACGUCAGGCU
rnacentral:tRNA from 1 species